AUUGAACGCUGGCGGCAGGCCUAACACAUGCAAGUCGAGCGGAUGAAGGGAGCUUGCUCCUGGAUUCAGCGGCGGACGGGUGAGUAAUGCCUAGGAAUCUGCCUGGUAGUGGGGGAUAACGUCCGGAAACGGGCGCUAAUACCGCAUACGUCCUGAGGGAGAAAGUGGGGGAUCUUCGGACCUCACGCUAUCAGAUGAGCCUAGGUCGGAUUAGCUAGUUGGUGGGGUAAAGGCCUACCAAGGCGACGAUCCGUAACUGGUCUGAGAGGAUGAUCAGUCAAAUGGGAACUGAACACCGUCCCAGCCCCCAAGGGAAGGCACAGUGGGGAAUAAUGGAACAAUGGGGGAAAGCCUGUCCCAGCCAGCCGGGGGUGUGGAAGAAGGGCUUCGAAUGGUAAACCAUUUUAGUUGGGAGGAAGGGCAGUAAGUUAAUACCUUGCUGUUUUGACGUUACCAACAGAAUAAGCACCGGCUAACUUCGUG
rnacentral:rRNA from 1 species